ACAAUGACAGGAAGACUGAGGAGGAGCUCAGGCCAUGACUGGGGUUAAAGAGAGACACUGAGGCCGGAAAGCUGGCCGGGUCCCACUCUAUGAGGAAAGUGCCAGGAAAGAGCUGAAGCUGUGGAGCUGAGAGAUACUGGGGCAUCUCCCGACAACAGACUCCAACGGGGCAGAAUUGCCCCAGCCUGGGCACCACGGUUCAAGCUCCUGAGUCCACCAGUGCCUUUCUUUGCCCCACCUGCCUCAGAUGCUCCCACGGAAGAUGUCCCAUUAUCAAAGAAACGUCCCACACAUCAGUAGGCACUGAGGGCUAGAACCAGAAGGAACGCGACACUGGGUAAAAUGCCACAGGCUCCUUUCCACUUCCUUUCCCCGAGACCUCAGGUGUUAAUCUCUGCAAGAUCCCCCACCAAGGAGAGCACAUCUGAGGCUUACCUGUCAGCCACAUCAGGCAGGUGGGGCCAGGAUGGUGAUGGCCAGAUACAACUUUGCAGCCUCCCAUCUGGCUCCUAUCCUGCGGUCUGUUUGACAGCAGCAAUAGAAAACUCAUGCAGCCCCUGAAGGUAUUGGACAGAGCCCGGAGUGGGGAAAGAAGGCCGUUGACAAGAGGGGUUGCAGAUGCAGGACAGAGACAGAGUCCUCCACCACACUAUGACAGAACAUGGAGGAAUCCAUGGUCCUGAAUUUGAACAUGACCUCCCAGGUUGUUACAAAGACAGGAGGAAAAUAAAAAACAAAAGACCCAAAAUGCUGGCCUAAUGCAGCUCUGAUGGAAAGGUGGACCCCUGGCCAGAGAGGAAGAUUACUAAACCUCAUCAACCAACCACCGCAGGGAAUUUUCAGAUUUAGAGGAGAAGGCCCGCUGCCCCUACUAAACCUCUCCAACAAGAGCUGACAGUCUUUGCCAUUGGCCUGUGGAUAUUUCCUUUCUCCUAUUGCUUUCUCCUAUUGGUCAGCCUGGGUUCCUGACCCACCCCGCACUCCAAAAUUCUGUUAAUUUCAUCCAACAUUUUUCAGGUGGCUCCCGUGCACCAGGAGCUGAGGAUACAAAGAUGACUAAGCCUUGGCCAGCAGCCUGGAGGAGCGCACACGGAGAGACCUAUUAGGACUGGCCUGCUCUGGCAGUAGGAAUCUGGCUGGAGCUGAAUGUUCACACUCUUUUGGCAGAUGGAGAUGGAGGGGUCUGGGCCAGAAGGGAAUGCCUGCAGCGACAGAGCUGAGAAGGGAGCUCAGAUUUUAUGUGACCAUCCCCACCUCCUGGGAAAAGCCAAGCUACAGAAAGAGAGUCCUGCCCUGCCCUGAGGACAGAAACCCAAAAUGUGCCUGUACCUAAAGCACCCUCCCCUUUCCACUCUAGGACUCAGGGGAGGGAGGGAGGGAGAAAAGAAGGGAGAAAGGGAGGAAGGAAGGGGGCCACCUCCAGCCUUGCUCACUGUUCCGUUGUAAGAAGAGGGAUCUGCAAAUGUUGGGGGCAAGAGUUUGCCCUGCAAGACUGCUGGACUGUGUGGGCAUUUUCCAUUAGUGGGCCCCUUCAGGAUGCUGAUGAGAAGGCACUCCCAUAAUCACACCCUUCCCUAUCUUACAGCUUCCUCAGGGAUGGGUCUCCCCCUCCCCAUAUUGUCACUCUUGACAGGUUGCUAUGUGGUCAGUGGGUUUCUUUGUGAGGGUCAGAGAGGGAGGUCUGGGCCUGCUGAGAGAACUGAGCUCCCAUCUGCCUUCAUCAGACUAGAAACUGAGCCGUUCAGAACCUGAUCCAACGUGUUUUUUUCCAACCCAGUUUGAUUAAAGUCAGUAUUACCUGAAACCCAAGACUAAUGUAUGUCGACAACGACUCCCAGAUGGCCCUCUCGGCCAGGACAACUAUUCCUCCCUGCAGCCCUCUGGAACCAAACUCAACAGGCAGGAGGCGCCAUUACCACGGGGCCAGGAGCCGGGCCCCUGCUGAUUGAGACCGAGACGCCACUCUGGAAAGUCUCAGGGCAUCAAUAUUUCAUGCCGCUGGAGCUGUCUUUGUUUUUAUGCAAAUUGCUCGGGCUGCCAGAUGGGCAAAGGCUGGCAGUGUCAUCCAUCACCAGGCUGUUCCCUCGUCAGCAACCUCGCCGGCUGCCAGGGCCCUGCAGGCUGGCCUCAGCUGUGGCCCGUCCUCUCAGUCGGUCUGCAUAGCCGGACACAGCCCCGUCCUGAACACUGUGGGAGACACAGGGGAAGCCAGAGGCCAGGUCCUUGCUCCAGGGGACUCACAGAUGGACGGCUCAUAAUGAGAUAGGAGGCAGCUUGUCACUUCAGUGUGAAGCUGCAUACCUUUUAUUUUAACCCACAAAGCACCUGUGUGGAGGACAUAGCAGGUAUGAUCCCAUUUACAGAUGGAAGAUCAAGGCUCAGAGAGGCUAAAAUAAUUACCCAAGCUUGCCUAGCAAGUUAAGUAGUAUAGCUGGUCCGGGAUGCCCUCCAGUACUCCAGGAUCUCACCUCUCACCUAAUUCUGCUGUGAACCAUGAUCUCUGCCCAAUAGGGCCCUAUUGGACUGAAUGAGUCAAUCUGAGACAGGGGCUGAGUCCAGGAGGCCCUCCCACUUCCGUCUCAGCCUGCCUGUGGUCUGCAUGGUUCCCAGGAUCUGUA